rnacentral:tRNA from 1 species
GCCCGGCUGGCUCAGUCAGGGGAGCAUGUGGCUCUUGAUCUCUCAGUUGUGGGUUUGAGCCCCACGUUGGGUG